CCGGCGGCGGCGUUUAUGUUUCGAAACUUCUCCGUUUAAUUCUCUGAUUUAACCUCUUUUUCGUGCAUGAAGACAACUUUUGGAUGGUUUGAGAUAAAAAGCAGGUAUGCCAGGGAAAUGGACAACCUGCAAAAAUAAAUUGCGGCCAUUUUGAAAAGACCCUGCUCACAGGCAAGCAUCAGCAUUGAAGACACACGCUUCAAAGGCAGGCUGGAAGACAACAAUAGGCCAGGAUGUUGGCGUCAGACUGCAACGUUAACAACUGUUCGGGGAGACUGGAGCCAGAUCUCUGCCCUUCUGAAAACCAAAAGCCAUGUGUAGAUGACAAGAGAGGCGAGUAAUGACAUUACAGAGCUAGAUCAGCAAGUCAUGAUGUUCACACCAUUGACAGCACCAGAAGGGAACAUAGGAAUGACAGAGCAAGGACAGUAGAUAUGAGCAAGGACAGUAGAUAUAUCUACAACCAUUCUGAUAUCGGACUUCCACAAGGGCGUGGUCGUCUUUGGAGCACCAUUUGCACACUUGUGGCGAAAAACCUGAGGGCGAGAACAAAGCAGGCAAUGCUGGUUUGAAAGCCUGUUUCAAGAUCAGAGGGCAUGGAUGUCCUGACGCUAUCUAAGAGAGACCCGUCGCCAUACUACAUCAGAAAGACAAAGCAGUUUGGUUUGGCAAGGCUAAGUAUCAGCUGAAAAACUGUCAAAAAGGGGGGAACCUAUCUGCCUCCUGGACAUGGAGUUAUAUGCGCAUUUGUUUAAAUUCACUCCACUGUAGAUACACAGUUUAGAAUGAUGCCUUACCUGUGAUCGGGCCAGAAUCUGUGUCUAAACAGAAUGCCCUCUACCAAAAAGGCAGAAAAUAUGAUGGAAUACCUGAUCCAGCAGAAUGAGGAAGCAAGUCCUGCCUGAUCUGCCCAAAGAACUUCUCAGUGCUGUUUCUAAAACCACCUGUCUUUUUUGGUAGAAGAAGUCAUCAAAAUCUAAAAAUGUGCAAGAUGAGAUCAUUGAAAGACAUUUCACAGUAUUACAAAGUUAAUGUCUUUUUCUUUUACUCACAAUCAGUCCUUGUCAUUAUUUCAGCUAUGGUCCACCAGUUGGGUCCUCUGAGAUGGUACACUACUACAUGUGGAGAACAUUGUGAGCAUGAAGAUUAUCGUGAAGGACUGUGAGGCACAAAAAAUACAUGGUGGACCUUUACUUUUUCAGCAGAUGGGGACUUGUUUUCUAUGUAGGCCUAAAAGUUGAUAAGUUAUCUCCAGAUUCUGCAGGAUGGUGCUUUAACUUCUCAGUGAACCUGAACACCAUUAUUUCUCCUGGAUGUAGAGAAUAAAUGUACAUGUAAUUAGAUUUCUCGUAGUUAUUAGAGUUAGUUUUCAUGUACAAGGAUACAGACACAGAUGUUGAUCAACAGUGGUCCUUCUGAGAGGCAAAACAGCAAUGUACUGGGAUUCCAGCCACUGUAGCUCAGGUAGUGUUAGUGACCCAUUUUUUUUUCGGUUUAAAAAAGCCAUCAUGAUCAACUGCAUUGAUCCCUCAAAAGAUUGUUGGACUGGCUGAAUUAAAUGUAAAAAAGAUAUCCAACACCUGGUAUUCUAUAAGUUGCUGUAGCUUAGCUCAGUGGAGUGACCUUUUUGUUUUCACUUUUAAAAACAUAUGCAAUUUGCCGCACUGAAGGUCCCUCCAGAGAUUGUUGGACUGGGUCCAAUGAAUGUGACAAAAAUAUCCAACACCUAUUUACAAAUGAAGUGAGGGGGUCAGCCUUUUGGUGUAACUCCAUAUAACUGUCUGGUGAUUUCGCUCUGGGCUUGUGACAUUCUGAUCGGUCUGAAAUAAUCAUUACUGCCCAUCCCUCAAUUUGAGGCCUGUGUCCCGAUGGUGGAGCUGAAUGGCGAAAUCAAAGGGGCAUGACGGCGGUUAAACCUAUUGCGAAUGGGCAGCAUCACAACCAGUUCUGAGAUCUGGGGGUGGUGUAGGAUAUUCGGUAACCACGCACACAUCUCCUGAAUGUGCGGUGGGUUGGUACCCCACGCUACGUAAGGGGAGGUUCUGGGUAAGACUUGGUCCACGUGAAUAGGUUGUACCUGAAAGAUGAGAAGUUGCGAAUGGACGCCCUGUGAAUAUGUCCUUCGACCAGCUAGUGCUAACCCGGUCACUGUCUCCAGGUCACCAUGCCUCGGUCAAUGAGCGGGCGAAGAACCCAAUGGCUCCGUCAGGA